GCGAAAGUGGCGGAAUUGGCAGACGCGCUGGACUUAGGAUCCAGUGAGUUAUACUCAUAGGGGUUCAAGUCCCCUCUUUCGCACCA
rnacentral:tRNA from 1 species